rnacentral:misc_RNA from 1 species
AGCGCGUGAGCACUACCGCCACUGCACGCAUACACCCGCUUCUUCUCACACCCACACACAUUUUCGCCUCCACAAUCGGAGCUUCCUUGCCUCCCCUCACACAUACACAACACGCAUGCACUCGAGAAUUCCGCUUUCGAUCGUCUUCUCUGCGGAGGGGAGGCGACACGUCAUCCCGCACCGCACCUUUCGUGUCGCGGCUCAGGCGGCAGAUGGAAGCGCUGAUGCGAGCACCUACACCGGCGCUGCGGAGGAGGGUAUCGCCUUCUUCCAGUACUUGGACUCCAAUGACACGCGUAUGCCGUCGCAUCCGCACCUCAGGGCCUACGCCCAUCCGGCGGAGGAGUACGAGACGUACGUCGGCGAGGAGGUUUGGAACGCUACCGAUGAGGCACCCACAAGCGCAUCGGGACAUCCACCGGUGCACGACACAGGGAAGGCCCGGAGCGGAAGCGCCUCUUGCUGCGCCACAUCGGAGGAUUCCGCGCCGGUGCCGAGCUUCCGCAGCGUGGUGGAAUGGGUGAACAGCGUCUUUGAGGAGGAGUGGGCCUCCGACGGCGUUGUGUUGUGCGGUCGCUACGUUGUGGCGGAUGACGGAGCGUGGGUAGUACCCUCUCGCUCCCCUGCGCUCUACACCACGCGCGAAGUGUUCUUGCUGAUGCGCAACUCGAGCAAGUUCCUUCACGACGUGCACGCGCAGGUGAUAGACGUGAGGGCCUCGGCACGGAGAGGCGCACACGGCGGCUCUUUGACAUUCGAGUUCACGCUUGCCAAGUCUCUUGCCGGAUCUGGUGCGAGUGAGAUGCGGGCCAUUCUUCCAUACCCGCUGCACUUUAGCCCGCAGAAGCGCGCCUGGGCAGUCGACGACACUGCCGCAUCCUUGUCUUUUACCGGAAUUGGCCAGCGUGUGACCGACGUGUGCUUUCCUUCGCUGAUGGCGUGGACGGAGGCAGAGCAUGAUGAUAAUUUUCGCUUCAUGCAGCGGCGAAUCGAGCAGGCUGCGCUGCUGGAGCGUACCUGUGUCGCGGACCCGGGAUUCAUCUCCCGCCUUGUGAGAGCCUUUGAUAAAAGAAUGCACCAGGAGUCCGCCGCCGAUGAGGUUUCGGGGCGGCAGCAUUCUCAUCCGAGCCUGGCGCUUCUUCUUGCGUUGGACUUGCUCUUUGAGAGCCCCUCGCUUCCGAUUUACGUGCUGAGCGCGAAGGCGCGUGUGUUUGAGGUGGCUCCUCGAACUUCGGCGCCGUGGACAGCGAUCAACGAUGCCUCACAGUGGCAUCUGUGGACUCCGCUACUCGCCGACGCGGACGCCACAGGCGCAGAAGGUGCUUCUCAUGGCGCUACCGCUGCUGACGCGGCUUGCAGAGGCGACGGUAACACCCAGGCCACGCCUUUGGGAGAGGACGAAGAGUCGGAGGGGACAGAAGAGGACGAGGAAGAGGACGUGACCACUGGUUCUCUCGACUUUUUCCGCAUGUUCAGAGACGUUGGCCACUGGAAUCAGUACGUCCGUGCUAUGGCGGCGCGUCUCCAGCAGAGCUGCGCCGGUGCCAUGGGCCCCGACGACUCGAACAAGCCCUCUCGCGGUGUCCAGCACUACUGUGUGAUCGCAUCCGAAAGCGCGGACCUGGUCGCCUGCGCGGAUACGCGGACAAAGCGUGGACUUCCGCUGGAGCUGAUGCACCCGGAGUUGCUGGAGAUGAACGAAGAAGCAGCGGGCUUUCUGAAAAUGCUCAGAGAGGGCUUGCUCAAGCGACCUGGAGGAGACAACUGAGAGAACAGCACAAAAGCGAGACGAGCAAGCAGUGAAGAGAGUGUUCCGCGCGGCUGCGAUAUUCGUUUUGCGCUCGUCUGAAACUCUUCUGCAGGGCGCCGGAACUGGUGUGUGUGUGUGUGUGUGCUGCUCCCAUCUCCCUGUGGCUCUUUCGGUUCCUUCGAGAAGCGCAUCAUCCGUGCGAGCGGAUUCUGUUUCCUUUCUCUCUUACAGUGAGACCGGAAAAAAAAAAGAUGCGCCGCACAAGUAAGAGGACUCGUCAUUGCUGCUCUGUAUUGUAUGGCACACGCAGACACACAUACACACCUCUCUGUAUGUGUGUCUGCGUGUGCCUUCGGGCUUUGCAUCCAUGUGCGAGGCGUGCAAGCCCCACAGUCACAGGCUCCGCAUACGGGCAAAGUAAUAAUAAUAAUAAAGAAACUAACAACGAAACGACUUAAAAGGAUAUUGCUGAAAAGAACAUACGCGCGGCCUCGGCACAUAAGCACAUGCAUACACACAUACAUACACAGUUGUACAACCCAACGUGAUGGCGAUGGGAAAAUCUGCUGUUGUCAGCAAGGAUUCGGAUUUCGCUCCUCGCAUGCACUCACCCUCACGCUGCUGCAGCGAAAACGAAC